GGAAAGUCGUAGGCAGAGUUCCAAUAUGGCGCGCGAGUGUAAACACGUGUGGCGCGAAUCAUCCGUGACGUGUUCCUAAUUUUUCAUCUUUCGUGUUUAUUUCGUUUUAAAAUGUAUCCUGAUGUUCAUUUUCGUCAAUGUGAUCGAUUAAUAGUGCAUUCUUGUGAUAUUUUGCGAACAUUUACGUGAAACGGGAUUCAACUCGGCGUUUUCAAUUGGCUUCUAUUCCUCCAAAUCAGCUACGUUUACUGCGCAACAGGAAAGGGAACAAAGGGUCCGCAGUUCGUUAGGUGGACACAACUUUCUUCUAAUUAUCAAAGAGCGGCCGAGAAGAAACAUGGAGGUGGGCGGGGUCGGUAUCGCGACAGAUGCAAUUACAGUUAGUUACGGGAACUAAUCCACUGCGACUGCUUGUACUUCAUCAUCGGGGCUUUGCAAUGUAAUUUAAGUUUGAUUGUCAAACCUGGCCGUUCAUCUCUUUCUCUGGGGGAGGGGGAGGGAGAGAAAAAAAAAAACGUGGUGGCGGAUUUGAUUGUGGAAAAUUGGUGCGAAAUACGAUUUUACUGCUACUAUGGAAAUAAUUACACGGCCAUUUCGUCGAAUUAUUUUUUUUUCCCCCUCUCUUUGAUUCCGAAAAAUUUGACAUUCGAUAAAUAUAUAUACAUAUUAUUUAAAAUAACAAUUAAAACGAUCAUAAUCUAAAAUAUUUAACGAGACAAGCGAAUUAUGAAUUUAUUCUUCGAGAUAAGUCGGGGUGCCAAAACCAAAGAACUCGAGAAAUCAAAAGAUCUCCUCCUCCCCGGCGAAAAGGGUUUACUUUCAUCCAAGUUUUUCACAAAGUAUUUACAUUGCGAAGGAUUAAAAUAAAUUUUAAUCAUCGUGAUAAAGUAUUUCGUACACGUGAACCUCGUAUAUAACGUACGUAGGAAUUUUUCUCGUUAUGAAAUUUAUUUGCACGACGUAUUCAAUAGUCGGGCGUUGCUUAUCUAAACAACGACAGGAAAUAAUUUAUUCGGGAAAUGAAGCGCCCGUAUUAUAUUGCCGGAUGCAGCAUAUUGCUUCAUACACGAUAGUUGUGUGUAAUUAACUUUAAACACCGUGUAGUUAUAUCGUGACACGGUCGUGGCAAUGUGUUUAUAAUAAUAAAUGAGUUAAUGCGAAAAUAUAGUAGAAUGUAACGGCCCGCUUCGAAAUCAAUGCACGGUAACAAUUUAAUAAAUUAAUAUCGCGUUAUAUAACGAGCGAUUUAAAUUCGAAACUUGCUGCAACGUUCCAGCGUAAUCCCUUAACGUUCUUCGUUCUUUUUUCCCCCCUUCCCUAUUGACAUGUAUCCAACAAUGGAACGUCAAUUUUUUAUUUUUUAUUCUUUUUUUUUUUUUCGUGUAGUAUGCAGUACACGUAGUAUACACGAGUGUGCACGAUGGAGGACAAAAGUGUCAUAAAAUGUAACGAGGAAUAUUGAAAAAAAUACGUAAUUUAGAAGAAUACAUUGGAAGGCGUAAUGAAAAUUAUAUUUAUAAAAGGUUAUUUAUUAUUGGUAUUUGAAUAUUCUAAAAGAGAAUUUGUUACUCAAGAAAAUAAUCACCAAUGCACAGAGCAAAUAUAACAUAGAUUUUAUAUUAUAAUACAUCCUAUUCCUAGAAUUAUAUUAAAUAUUUUACCAGAAAUAAAUUAUAUUUGUAAAUUUAAUUUACUCUAGAAUUCGAUCAAACCCUGUUAAAAAUUAAGAAAAUUUUAAACCGCUGUAUAAGUUCAAAGAUAGUGUGGUUUCCAGUCGAGCGAGCGAACGAUCGUUGAAAGCGUCGAAAUCUUUCCCCUUUGAAACGCUUUUCGAUACGACUCCCGAUACAUCGUCGUGCAAACAAAAAGUUAAUUUUUAAUAGGUUCGCCAUCUUCGACACUUGCUCGCUCCCGUUCCCCUCAAACUUCGGCCAAACGACGCGAUUCCUGGAAAAAAGCUCACGCAUUUCGCAGGAGAAAUAUCUAGGUCAUCGGAUCGCAUCAUUCGUAAUUACCGUUUUAAGCUCCACAGAUGCUUUUGAAUUCUUAUAUCUCGGCAACCGAUCGAGAUAUCGGGAUAAAACAAAAAAAAAAAAAAAAAAAAGCGACUCGAAUGACGUGGAUUCUUCCAUUUCCUCGAGUGGAUAUUAUUUUUUUUUUUAUGACGUAAUUCUCUUUGUGUUUGCAAAAGUUUCAUUCGCGAUUUUCCUAUUAUUUAACGAGUAUUAAUUAACAUUUAUUGUUUCAUUAUUUGUUGUUAUUAAUUCGCAAUAUAAACGUUACUUUCAACAAUAUCGUUUCCAAUAUUGCAUUCAACUUUCAUUACUUUCUAUCGAUCGCAAUUAAUAUCGUAAUUUCGUAACACGCAAUAUACACGAUUAACAAUGCAAAAGUAUAAUUUUAUUACGUAAUAAGGAAGGGGGAGGCAUUUCUUCCUUUCCGAUUUUACAAAAUCUCUCAUCUCCUCGUUCGUAUACUUGAGCGUUUUCGUUUCACACUUCCGAUACAUCACCACGCCAGGUUAAUUGAUUCAAAUUUGCAUCCAUAUUCGAAUACACUGCAGAGUGGAACCAAACAUUCUACUCCCUUCUAUAUUCGACCCAAUUCGAAAGUUGAUUCGACGGUUGGAUAUUAUCAGAUAUAUAUAUACGUAGAGAGCUCGGCCACGUCUCCUCCACUUUUCCAUUAAAGAGGAUUUCCAGGAUGUGUAUACAUCCGAAAGAUUACAACGGUGUUGCUAUUAAUACGAAGUAAUUUUUAUCCGUGUCGACGCGUUAUUAAAAAUGAAGGAACGAGCGCUUCGAACUUUCGAUUUUACCCCCUUCGUGCGUACAAAUGUCACAGUUAAACAAAGAUGUUAUUAAAUAAGGAAAUUUUCCACGAACCAUUGAUUCCAGUGACCAUUCGUGACCAAACGUCGUCGGGAAAUGAAACGAAAAUUAGAGAACAAAAGACAC